UACGAAGGGGCUAGCGUUGUUCGGAAUUACUGGGCGUAAAGCGCACGUAGGCGGAUCGAUCAGUCAGGGGUGAAAUCCCAGAGCUCAACUCUGGAACUGCCUUUGAUACUGUCGGUCUAGAGUAUGGAAGAGGUGAGUGGAAUUCCGAGUGUAGAGGUGAAAUUCGUAGAUAUUGGAGGAAGCACCAGUGGCGAAGGGCGGCUCA
rnacentral:rRNA from 1 species